ACGACCUUACUUGAACAGGAUCUGUUCUAUAGGGUUGUACUACUGUGUCCUUGAUUUCUAAGGAGACAGGAACAAAAAUCUGGAUGAUGAACUAAGACCGUGUGAUCAGAGCGUGAUUAAUGGCUUAGAUGAUCCUCAAGUUUGAGACAUCAUCUGGUGCUGUAGAUGAUCGUUCCAGUUCAGUCUUACCUGUACUGGGUGGUCACACGGUGUUCUUACAGAUU